AGACUACACUCAAGCCAGCUGAAAAGCCUGUGCCUUUCAUCAGUGUGCCUGAAGACCCCCUUUUAUUGCUAAAUGCACGUGAUAUUUAGUUUAGGAUCACAGUAAGUGUUCAUUAUGCUGACAUAUCUUUUCAUGUUGGCCUGGCUGGGAGUCACGGCUUUCACCUCACUGCCAGUUUACAUGUACUUCAAUCUGUGGACCAUCUGCCGGAACACCACAUUAGUGGAGGGAGCAAAUCUCUGCUUGGACCUUCGUCAGUUUGGAAUUGUGACAAUUGGAGAGGAAAAGAAAAUUUGUACUGUCUCUGAGAAUUUCUUGAGGAUGUGCGAAUCUACUGAGCUGAACAUGACCUUCCACUUGUUUAUUGUGGCACUUGCUGGAGCUGGGGCAGCAGUCAUUGCUAUGGUUCACUACCUUAUGGUUCUGUCUGCCAACUGGGCCUAUGUGAAAGACGCCUGCCGGAUGCAGAAGUAUGAAGACAUCAAGUCGAAGGAAGAGCAAGAGCUUCAUGACAUCCACUCUACUCGCUCCAAAGAGCGGCUC
rnacentral:sRNA from 1 species